CUAUGAAGUAGGCUCCCGCAAGGGCAUCUGUCGAGGUGCUGCAUGGCUGUCGUCACCUCUUGUCGUGAGAUGUUGGGUUAAGUCCCGCAACGAGCGCAACCCUUGUCUUCUGUUGCCAUCAGGUCAAGCUGGGCACUCUGAAGAGACUGCCGGUGACAAACCGGAGGAAGGUGGGGAUGACGUCAAGUCAGCAUGGCCUUUAUGUCUGGGGCCACACACGUGCUACAAUGGCAGGUACAAACCGUUGCGAGCCCGCGAGGGGGAGCUAAUCGGACAAAGCCUGUCUCAGUUCGGAUUGUAGGCUGCAACUCGCCUGCAUGAAGUUGGAAUCGCUAGUAAUCGCGGAUCAGCAUGCCGCGGUGAAUACGUUCCCGGGCCUUGUACACACCGCCCGUCACAUCACGAAAGCUGGCUGUACUAGAAGUAGCUGAGCUAACCCG
rnacentral:rRNA from 1 species